rnacentral:rRNA from 1 species
UACGUAGGGACCAAGCGUUGUUCGGAUUUACUGGGCGUAAAGGGCGCGUAGGCGGCCACUGCAAGUCAGUUGUGAAAUCUCCGGGCUUAACCCGGAAAGGUCAACUGAUACUGCAGGGCUAGAGUGCAGAAGGGGCAACUGGAAUUCUCGGUGUAGCGGUGAAAUGCGUAGAUAUCGAGAGGAACACCUGCGGCGAAGGCGGGUUGCUGGGCUGACACUGACGCUGAGGCGCGAAAGCCAGGGGAGCGAACGGG